UUGCCUAUUCCUUGAACUUUUUCAUGUUUUAGUUGCAGCUUAUUGGUGCAUUAUUGGCUGUAGGUUGGAGCUGGGACUAUGAAUCCUCUGACAUUUCUAAGAAGAGAAGAAG